rnacentral:lncRNA from 1 species
CCAUUUUAUUAUUCAGACAUGUAUAUAUGUGUAUAUUUCUGUUUCAGAAAGAUUUAGUGACAAUAGAUUUUUUGAGAAUGGGAGCCAAUUUGAUGUUAAAUAAAAAAAUAAGAUCUACCUCAUGUUUAAAGCACUCUGCAAAUGUUACAGAAUAUUUUAAGAUCUUAUCUGAAUUAUUUCUGUCAGUAAAUGAAGGAAGAAGCUACUUCAAAUUCCCCCAGACAUUUCAUUUCUUUCAUCAAACAUAUCUUCAUACAUGUGCCCUAAUGUAUAUUAAAAAUUGCCAAGUAGAAAAUUGCAGUCACAAACUCAUUUUGAUUUUUUAUAGUUAUCUUUUCCAAAUGUUUGUAUACAAGACAUCACUAUACACUGCUGAGAUAAAUGCAUACAAGAAAAAAUGCAUAAAAAAUAAAUAAAAGCUUAACAUAAACUGGAAGAAGUUGGAUUCAUAUAGAUAAGGAGGUCACUAUUAGAUAAUACUCUAUGAGUAUCUGAGACUUUAACACUGCAUUAUUGAAUAGUUAAAACUGAUGGUUUUAUCUUUAUUCUACAUGUAUGAGAUGUAAACUGUGAAUGUCACUGAUGUUUAUGCUAUCUAAGGAGCUGCUGUCUUAUCUUUUGUUGGUUCUUAGCUCUAUAUUUUGAGAGGUCUCAUAGAAUUGGAGCAAUUCUCUAAACCUGCUUUCCAUGGGGUUCUGCUUCACUGAGAAGGUUUGGUGUUUUAAAUUAUAUGGAAGUUUUUCUAGGAGCUUUAUAUGCUUGAUGGCAGAAAGCUGAAGAGUCUUUGGAUGUGAUCUGGACAAUCUUGCCACCAACAUUGGGCUGAAUAGUUGAUGUGAGGUCAGUUUUCCUGCAGUAUGACUGAGGGUUCAUGCCAUUUUGGUGAAUCCAGACCAUGUAUUUUAGAGUAAAGACCUAAGGUGUGGUUCUAAGUGCUCUCACCUAGCAUGCAAUUUACACAUCCAAGGAGGGUGAAGCUUUAUUUUGUAAUACUGCACCACGAGGAAUGCCUUGAUUUGGCAAGCCAUUGUUUAUGGUCACUCCUUAUACUAAGAAGAAAAAGUUUAGCCUUCUUUCUGAUAGAAGCCAGAAUGUCCUACAGACAUUCAAGAUCUGAAUAGCUGAAGAAGACAAGGCCAGAAAGUAACACAAUAUUAAGAUGGUGAUGGUACUCUGUUGUGUUUUACUUUUCAAAAUAUGGUAGGACCUUAUGUGACUGAAGCUAUCUCCCUUGAUGAAACUAACAUGCAAAAGACAUUGGGUACAUUUUUCAUUAUACCUUGCCAAUCAAAUUUCCCAUCCUGAUUUUUUUUGGUUAAAAAUUAAUUAAUCAAAGUGUGUCAUAUUUCUCAGAAGGUGAAUUUUUUACAUUUCUGAGCUUAAAGCCAAUAGAAAGCUGGCACUAAUAACUUAAAAGUAAGUCAACCCUUUAUGUCAGUGACUAUUCAGAUAUUAAAGUCACAUAAUAUGUAGAGGACUUUGAAGAAUUCAUUUUCUUCAGCAGGAAUAGUGGUCCCACAGAGAAUCCUCAUUUAUAACUAGUAUCUCAAAUCUUGUGGUUGUAAAAAUGUUACCUGUCGAAUUUUAAAAUCAGGCCAGAUUUAUAGUUGCUGCAGCAGCAAGGCUGGAUUUUUCUGGCAUAAUAAAUUUUAUCAAAUAAUUGUUCCAUAUCUUUUACAAAAAUUAUUACACUAGUUAAGUUUAGAAUUUCUUUAGGCAUGCUUGAGGUUAUGUUUAAUCACAUUUAACCUAAUUUGGGAAGGCAGUUCUACAUUUAAAUACAUUUUAUACAACAUACAAAUUCCCACAUUAGAUUAUAUAAGAUUUGAGACAUCUAUAACCCAAUACUGAUCUAAAUUCCCAAGCAAGAAUAUACUAAAUAUACACUUAAUUGCUUGUAAUUAUUUAAGCAUAUUGAAAACAUUAAAAAAUUGUGAAUAUCCUUGAACACUUGGAAAAAAUUUUGUAUACAUGUAUAUAUGAAAAUACAUAUAUUUUCACAUUUAAAUGGGCCUACAUGUCUAGAAAAUCUUUAUAAAAAAGGAGGACAUAUACAUUGGUUACAUAGAAAAUAGGUGCGUACUAGCUAAAUAUGUCAGUUAGUCCCCUGUGAAUUCUGCAUAAGCUGAAGAAACCACAGAGCGCAUUACAUGUAUCAUGUACUUAAGCAUUAUUAAUUUUUAAAACUUUCUUGGAAAACGUUUGGGCAAUAAAACUAAAAAUUAAUAACUUCUAAAACCAUAAAUUAUUAAGACGUCCAUUUCUUGCUACAUCAUAGUAGCUUUUAUCAAAUCAACUAUCACACUGAGACAACAAGAAAGCCUAGAUUGAAGAACAAAGAAAGAAAACCAGGACCUGAAAAGUCAAGGCUACAGAGAGAGCAUAGGCUGACCUUGUCUACUGUGCUUUCCCCUCUGUGUGUUUCCUGAGUGUGUCAGAGAAGCCAAGCAGAAAGUAGAGACUGAACAGUUUUAAAAGUCUCCUGGGAAAAAUUAUAAUCAAGGAAUAAAAAAGUCAGCUAGGCCAAGGCCCUGGAAAAAGGGUACCACAGAGAAGUGAAACCAACAUUGUAUAGACAUUUGGUGCUGCAGGUCAGUUGUCUGGGUGGCCUUGGAGUGACCUAGUUCUCUCCCUUUUCUUGCUUGGAGUUCUCAGGAACAGCUGUAGAUUGUGAUGGGAAUGCAACGUCUUGAGUUAGGGAGGAACUACUCUGGUACAGCCUUGGCUUUACUCCACUUUUCCCUGGAAGCCAGAUGUCUUUCAAAGAUUUGCCUGAUGAGUUACGUGCCUCUGAUGUAUAUAAUCCAGGGUGGGCUUCCUGUUGGGGUUCCUCAGCUGUAAUGCAAGUGGGACAUGCUCAGUUGAGACUUCACUUGCCCUGUGCAGCUUUGUUGAGGCAUGGAGGGAUUGGCUCACAACAGAUCCUAAGCUUCUUUUGUCUCUUGCUGCCUAUCUGUGAGUAAUAAAUCUGUUGCACAUAACUUGUUGUGUGUAUGUUUUGUCUCACCAGACUCAGACAAAUGGUAAUUAGUAAACCUGCUUUACAAAAUUGACAUAGUGAGUAGAGGCUGGUCUGAAAGAACCAUGGCUUAUGGGCAAAGUAGGGGCAGCAAAUAACCCCCAGGCUGGCACUGGGGGUUACUGCUCUACCCACUUUGCCAAUAAGCAUCAGCCUGGGCAAACAGGGGCUGGAUGUGCAGCUGGAUGUUUGAUCAGGAAAGAAGGGUGAUAAGGUAGGCAUAGGUCACCUCCCCCACCCAGAUGUGUGAGCUGGUUGCUGAUUGAGGCAGAGAGAGAGGAAUGCAGAAACAGGGGAGCACGGCACAGGAUCCCCUGGCUUUGGACACUUAUGUGACUGUUCAUUCCUGGCUAGAGAACUGGGAAAGUGAGUACUCAGAAGAACCCUGAAAGGGAACUAACACGUGUGCUAUGUGGGCCUUCACAGAAAGAGAGACUCAUUAUCUAAAGCAUAAAUAUAGAGAAAGGCCAGAGGAAUCUCAUGCAGCCUGGUUGAUUUUUUUUUUUUUUAAAUCAAGGGACAUUGCAAAUCCAAAUGUCUCAGGCAGAAUGGUACAGUUAGAAAUGGGGCCAGUCAGCCUGAGAAAUUAGGUUCUCAACUGGAGGUCAAUGCCAAUGUCCCUAUAAUCCUGUUAAAACAAGAGGAGAAAAGAAAGGAACUCGGACUUUUCUGGGGGCUCUUGGAUAUUAGAGCCCACAUAACAAUACUUCCAGGUCCCCUUAGGGGAAAAAUUAAACUGAUGACCUCAGGAGAAUUGGGGACAAAUAUGUGACUCGCAGUACUUAUUUGCUUAUGCUUGGGGUCCUUUGAGCCAUUUCAGGUGCCAGAGACUGUGGUUCCCAUAGCUGAGUACAUGAGAGUUGUGAGACAAAGUAGCAAGCAUCAUGCAUCCCUUAAAUAUAUACACCUACUAUGUGCCCACAAACAUAAAAAAUAAAAAGAAGCCAUGUGUAUAAGUCAGGGUUCUGUAGAGGGACAGAACUAAUAGGCGAUAUGUAUAUAUAGCCUAUUUUGUAUAUAUAUAUAUCACCUAUUAUAUAUAUAGGAGUUUAUUAAAGAGUAUUAAACUAAUACGAUCACAAGGUCCCACAAUAGGCCGUCUGCAAACUGAGGAGCAAGGAAGCCAGCCCGAGUCCCAGAGCUGAAGAACUUUAAGUCCUAUGUUUAAGGGCAGGAAGCAUUCAGCACAGGAGAAACAUGUAGGCUGGGAGGCUAAGACAGUCUAGUCUUUUCACAUUCUUCUGCUUGCAAUUUAUCCUAGUCAUGCUGGCAGCUGAUUAGAUUGUGUCCACCCAGAUUAAGGCUGAGUCUGUCUUUUCCAGUUCACUGACUCAAAUGUUAGUCUCCCUUGGCAACACCCUCACAGAUACACCCAGAAUCAAUACUUUGCAUCCUUCAAUCCAAUCGAGUUGACACUCAGUAGUAACCAUCACACUAUGCUCAUUUCUGCUUUCCAGCAUGAUUUCACAAAGCCCCUGACUCUGUGAUGAUGUGCAGCUCUCAGAAAGACGCUUUAAAGACAAAACAGGAUAGACCACUCCCACCCCCAUGCCUCUUGCCCUAGUCACUGUAUUCCUUAGAAGAUAAAUAAUCCUAGUCCUUUCCUCUUCUACAGAUAAGAUAAUGUCUGACAGGGUUAGUGAUUAUGCCUCUGUAAUCUAUAGCCAGAUGUACUCUUACACCCAAACCUUGAUCUGAUUCUGCUCUAAUAUAACUUCUGAACAAGUUUAAUACAAUUUUACAUGUACUAAACACUUACCAUCUCUAUAUAAGCAUUGGGCUAAAAUACUGUGCCAAACAGUCUAAUAAAAACCCUCCACAGGGCUGCCACCAGGCUAUAGGCCUUGGUCUAUAGUCCUCAAUAAAACUUAUAAAUAAAACCCACCGUAACUCUUUAAAAGCUUUUUUUUUCUUUAGUUGACAUACGCAUUGACACUCUGGCUGCUUGUGGAACAGAAUAUCACCACAUCAUAGCCAAGAAUUCGAGCCUAACAGUGGAACAUAUCCACUUCAGCCUGCCACCUAAGCUACCCAAGUCCCAAGUUUCUUCCGCAAAAGCAGUACUGCAAGCUAAGUGGAAAAUAGGGUAUUAUUUUGCUAAUUCAGGCCUUGCUACACACUACACUAUCACAAUGUAACAGCCUCUUCUGGCUGGUCAAAAAGGCCUUUGGGGCACAGAGACUAACAAUGGACUGUCCAGGCUGAAUGCCAGAGUCACUUGGGCAGGAUGCCAAAAAGGUAUUCCAGAGACAGUGAAAUAAAUAUUUUUAACCCUGGAGGUACUCACUAAUAAAAAGGAGGCCUAAUAGCUGGCAGGCAUCUUUGGGUACUAGAGACAGUAUGUACCCCACCUGGGUGUUCUGUUGGUCCCCUUAGUCAGGUGACCAGCAAAGCUACUAACUUUAAGUGGAACCCUUUGCAGCAGCAGGCUUUGGAAGCCAUUCAAUGAGCUGUGGCCCAGGCACUGACUUUAAAAGCUUUAAAGCCUGCUACCCUGAUGAAAUGACAUGUGUGCAUAACCACUCUGCAUGUGGAUUGGAGUCUGUGGCAACAGAAAAUUGCCAAUGGGGUGUGCAAGCCUCUUGGAGUUUGGACAUGUAAGUUGCCUGAGGCCGCCUGCAGAUACACCUCUUUUGAAUGACAACUCCUUGCUUGCCAUUGGACACUAAAGGAGACUGAGCAUCUUGUGACUGAACUGCCACAAAAGACACUGCAACUUGAACUGUCCAUUCUCACCUGGGCACUCACAAACCUUGCCAAUGAAAUUGGACAGGCUCAAUACAGCUCAAUGAUCAAAUGGAUAGGAUACAUUCAAAAGAUUGGGCUUAGCAGCCAAGAGACCAGUAGGCUCCAUGAGCAAGUGGCUAACUUGCCAGAAGGGACUAAACAACAUGUAGGGGAUGUUUUGGAUCCUCCUAUGGAUACCUGGGGCCCAAGACUGAGACGUGCCUACUGACAGUAUGACAUGGCUUGUUUACUGAUGGCUCUUCCAAAUGGCAAGCAGGCAGGGUUCCCUGGGCUGUGGUAGCCAUCUAGCCAGUGGAUAGGUAUCUCAUGGCUGAGACUGGACAUGGGCAUUUUGAACAAUGGGCCAAACUACAUGCAGUGGUGAUAGCCACAUAGACUUCCUCUACCACCCUAUCUUGCUACAUUUUCACUGACUCAUCAGCUGUUGCCAACAACCUAGACAUCUCGUCAGAAGAAAGGCAACUAAGUGGAUGGAUUAUUAAAGGACAAGUACUAUUACAAUAACUUGCUGUCUGGAAUGGGAAAGUAUAUAUGUCACUCAUGUGGAGGAUGGGACUAACAUAGCUUCUCUUAAAAGGAACACAUGUCAUGUUUUUGAUUACCCCACGGAACUUCACUCUGACCAAGGAAUGGUUACUACCCAAAUAACACAACAAUGUGUGCAUUCUCCUAAAAUACAAUGGACUUUCCAUACACUUUGUCAUCCUCAGGCCAAUGGAGCUGUUGAAUGGUGGUGGAGCCAACUCACAAAACAACUGAAGAAAUGACAUCAAGAUGGCCUGCUAAUGGAGUGACAACCCCUUCUGACUAGAGCAAUGUGGUCACUAAACACUGCACUCUAAUCCAAGGGAAACAUGGUACUGCAGCUCAAGUUGACAGAGCUUGGUGGAGGUGGAGGUGGACUAAGUAGCUGCCUGGAGGUUGACAGAGAUGCAGAGCUUGGUGGAGGUGGAGGUGGACUAAGUAGCUGCCUGAUUAGGCUGUGCCUGCAAAAUCCCAAUUCCAGUGUUCCAAACUAUGAUUUUUGUUCUUCCCCUUUACAGUGCAUGUCCUGGAGGGUGGUUUGCAGUUUAGGCCACCCUAGUACCCCAGACAAGGCUCCCUAACUUCAAGGUGAUACUUCUCCUGGGUUCUUCUCCUCUAUGGGAUUCCACAGAGGUGGAGAACAAGACCAAGGAAUACCAGGAUGCUAGGGUUCCCCUGGAGGCAGGGAGCGUUUAAUCCUUCCAGUAUAGUGGAUGUUAUCAGACAUGUCAAGUUAAUACAGGAUAUAACCUCCCUUCCUAGGCUGGAUGACACAGGCCCAAAGGUCUGGGUCAAGCAACAAGAAUAAUGAGUGAUCACAAAGGUAUUAGCCUUGGGACUGGGGCAGACAGAUGGGUUCACUACACCAACUCAGCCCAACCCUUAUGCAAUAGGUAGGGGAUACCUGAGAUCCUGGGAGGGUAGAGGGGUGGGAAACUAACUUGUUAAUCUGCUUUUUCCACGAGGACAGGGUAGUACAGGCCUAGAAAUAUAAUAUCAUUUUUAGGCUCUCCCAGACUGUGGCAAUGUGGAUAAUCUGAUAAAGUGUUGGAUCUUUCAUAUGGGCCUCAUUCUGUCACAGACCACAGUUACCUGCCAGUGAUAAAACCACACCAGCAUUCCUUAAUGCCACAGUGUACACUAACAGAACCUGAGCAGCCCUAGCUUAUUGAAUGAGGAUCUGGUACCUGUUGCAUGGGAGAGAGCAGAAGGUUCUCUGUUUUAACUUAUAACUGACUGUGUGGCAAAAUAUCACAACUAUAACUAAACAGAAUCUUGGUGGGCUUGUGCUCUGAUGCACUAAGCUCCUCUGAUUACAUGGAUCAGAAAUGUUACAGUGGUAAUAAAGAAAACAAGAACUGGACCAGUGCUAGUCCUCUGCAUAGGAGUUUCAUGAACAAUAUUAUAUGAAGGAAAUUGGGCUCAUGCAACUAUGCCAUCAAUGAGACUUGGCUGGGAAAUGUCAAUGCCUCUUUACCAAUGAGUGGCUCACUGAACAAAGAAACAAAGAAAGGGGUGCUGUGUGUGCCCAAGCGUUGCAUCUCUCUCUGCAGGUGGCUGGGGAUGGCCUAGAUACAGGAUAGACAAUGCCAUGCCUGUAAAGCUGGUAGCUGGUGGGAUCCUGCACAUUGGGUGUACUAGGGGUGCCCCUAGAUAUCACCCUGGGAAGGAGAUGCUCCAUUAGGCCAGUGGCCUUAAGCUUUUACACAGGCUUACUAGGAACCCACCAGGAGGUGGGAUUGACUUUGGGUUUAUGUCCUUUAUUAGAUCUUUGAUGUCACACAUGAGUUGGUACUCAUAAAAAAGUAGUAAGAACCCUGCCUCUGACCAUGCAGAUAUUGCUUUUCCACUGCCACUGUCUUGGAAGCCCUAGACAUCCCCCAGAUUCCUCAGGAAAGUUGUUUUAGACAGUGGAAUUGCCCGAGACUUUCUUUUAGCUCAAUUGAGAGGAGUGUAUGUGUUUGGCAAUUCCUACUGCUGUAGCUAGAUAAACACCUUAGGUACAGUAGAGACAUAAGUAGAGGAGAUCUGGAAGCAGGUCCACUGGCUACAAACAGUGGGGCUAUCUGAUAAUCCUUCUUUGCCUUUUUUUUUUAGCAACUUCUUACCUGAGACACUGGUAUCCUGGAUUAGGUCACUGCCUCAAGCAGGUCUGGCUGUCCUGCUAGUGGUGUAGUCCUUUGGGAUCCAGUAAAGGAUUUUCUGUCUGUUACUCAACAGUGUUGCACUGAGUUUGGGUCAGUCAAGGUGCUACAUCAGUCUGGCUAGAUAAACCUCUUCCUCCAGAUCCAGAGAGGUUGGUGGGCAUUUGAAAUGCACUGACUUUGCUACGAGAGAUGUCUGGCUAGAGGGGUAGACCUUAGGACAAUUCUCCAGGUGGCCUUGGACAUACCUAGUUAUCCCUGUUUCUUGCUUGUAGUUCUCAAAAAUAACUAUAGAAUGUGCUGGGAAUGCAACAUCUUGAGUUAGGGAGGAACUGCUCUGGUACAGCCUGGGCUUUACUCCUCCUUCCUGUGGAAGCGAGAUAUCCUUCAAAGCUUUGCCCAGUGAUCAUGCGGCCCCUGGGUUAUAUAACUCAGAACAGGCUGCCAGCUGUGUUUCCUCAGCUGCAGUGCAAGUGGGGCAUGCUCCGUUGAGACUUUAUUCACUCUGGGCAGUUUGUUGAAGAUUAGGUGGUCAGCUCACAAUGAAUCAUAAGCUGCUUUUGUCCCUUGCUGUCUAUGCUUAGAAGCUAAAAGGUUAAGCAGCGAUGUCAGCGCUAUCAGGGAGCUGUGGAGACUGGAAUUGAAGUUCAGAACCUUUCAUGGGAGACAGCUCAGAGCCCUGACAGAUGAGAACCAGGAAUUUUUUGUUGAAGAGCUUUCAUCCUUUAGUCAUGGAAUUAUUCUGGAGCAUUUUUUCCUCUUCUUCCAAGUGUUCAAGUAAUAAGAAAGACAGCAGGAUCUUUUAUUUCAGAACAAACAUGAAGUUAUUUAAGAUUAUGUUAUUGAAUAGUCAAAAGAUUACUAUGGAGACUAAAGAGUGCUUUCAACCUAGAAAAAUGACUUUGAAUUAAGAAAAAAAUACCUUAAACACUUGUCCUAGAUAAGAGCCAGUGUGAAUUGCCUAAGCACUGACUAUGUGAUUUUUCAGAGUGCUAUUUCGCAAAGUCAUCCCACAGCCAGAUUUCUAAACAUAGACCUUGUAAAUCGGAGGGAAAAAUCCAGAAGACAUUUUUGUACACUAGGGUCAGAUGAAAAUUUCCACUCUGUAGUACUUUGUCCUCUAAACAACUUUAUCUCUCUGCCCUUUAUUUUAAAUUUUGGAGAAUGGGGGUGGAGGGUUAAUUAAGAAAGUCAAACAUUUAUAGAAACAUUUAAGUAAUCAAAUUGUUAUUAUGUCUUGACAUCUGGUCUUUCCCAUCUUACAUCUUCGUAAGAUGUACUCUCCUCUCUUUUUUUUCCAACAUUAUUGAACAUGUUUCAUAAGGUCAAGAUCACAAAAUGUUUUUCUCCCUUGGGAAAGUGACUAUCUAGAAAGCAGCUGAGGUUAGGGGCUACAGUUAACUACUGCAGUCAGUUAUGGAAUUUUAGGAAUAAGAGCAAGAGCACAGAGCAUGAGAUUAAAGAAAGAAUACAUUUUUUAAAAAGUCCACAGUAUCAGUAGCCUCUAACACAAGCUGCUCCCACGUUAACUACUGAAAGGCAAUACAAGCAACUGCUGUUAUCUGGCAGAAGGAAAAUUACUUGCAGCUACUUUGAGCUACAGGCAUGUUCUUAGCUAGGCACACUACGUUGGAAAUACGUGGUGAGUUUUGUCAAUCCACAUGUAGUGAAAGCUUAAGUGAUUAUUUAAGUAGCUGAAGCAAAGGAGUGUAAAACUAGCAUUUAUUGAAUACAGAAUUAUAGAUUUGGGAGAGUAGUAAAACGAUAAUCAGCAAGCUUCCAUUCUAUAAACAGGCUCUUGCAGAGUGACAAUUCAAAAGAAUGCCUUCUACACUGUCUUGCACAGACAUAAUUAUAAAAUAUUCUUAGUGGUAGAGAACAUUUACCAAAUAAAUAUAUGUUUAAUAACUACUCAGAAUAAAAUGUUUCUAUGAUUUCAUAGUUUUAAUCUUCUGUGAUAUGCAGUUCUAAUGAUUACUGCUUAAAAGAGGGUUUGCAUUUGGGUGAAAAACUAUGAAUCAAUCUGUUAUUCUGUAUUUUAAAAUAGAUUGAAUUUCUGUUUUCAGGAAAGGAAACAUUUAUGUUCUUAUGUACUAAGUAUGCAGGGAUUUAAGUUUAUAUUUACUUUUUUUCUGCAUCAAUAAUCUAUGUUUCAAAGUAUUAUUUGUGUAAAACAGUGUAAAAAACAUACUGAAUUAAAUUCUCCCCUGAGUGAGAAACAAUUUAGAAUUUGUGGUUAUGUCAUUUGACAAGUGAAGUCUACAUCUAAGCAGAAAAAGAAAAUGUUAAAACAAUGUUUAAAAAAAUAUUAAAACAACAACAAACUUACAAAUUUCCAAAAGAGUACUUUUUAAUGAAGUGGAUAUCUUUGUCUGAAAAAAAAAAGAACCAAUUUUGUAGAAAAAAUAACUUGUUUUUCAUUUUUCAUCUGCCAUGUUUUUGCCAUGUACCUAAUUUUUGAGGGGGAGGGAUUUUUUUUUUAUAAAAUAGAAAUAAUAAUAUAUACCUAAAUUUUCAUGAUGGGUGAUAUUGUAUUUGUUGCUUUUUAUUGCAUGUAUACCAAUUUGAAACAGGAAAGGUUUAAUAAGUAACACGCUCAUCAAAUGUCAGAUAUUUUUAUGGAUAGGCUCAAUUUUAGGUUCAAGGUUUGGUUUAUAUACUUAACAAAUAAUCAAGAAGCAUUUGCACAUCUAACAGCAUUUAGUCAAAUCUGUUAGAACAGACUUUCUAUAAUUCAUGGAAAAACUAAUGCUUCUUUGUGUUGCCUAAUAUGCCUUCUUAUAAAUGAAUCACACUGGUCUGACAGAAAGUUGAUCAGAACACUCUUUUGAAGACUGUACAAACCAGCAUAAAUAAGAUGCAUGCAAUAAGUAUGACACAUGGAUAUAUAUCUGAAACGUCAUUCAUAUAUCAGGCUCCAUUUGUAUUAUGUUAAAUUCAUUGUGUCAAGAAUAUGCAUAAUAUGCAUAUGUGGGAUUCAUAAUCACUCAAAUGUAGAUUAUUAUGGAAUAAAAUGUAGAUUUAUUCAACUGAAAAAUAAUGAACUAUGAUAAAAAGCAAAAACAAAACCCAGAACAAGUCAAAGGCAAAAAGGCAAUCUUUCCUUCAUUAUAUUUGCAAAGGAAAUACCUGUAUGACACCUCAACAAAUUUUGUCCAGUAUUUUUCUCAAGUGAUGAGACACCUGGUCCACUUAAUAUCAGGAGUCUACAAAUUAAUAGUCUUAAACAGAUCUUCAAGAGACUACAUGAUUUGUAUAUUCCUCAAUUAUAUUAGCAGUAAGAAACAUCUCUUGUAUCAUAUUUACUCAUUGUAAUCAUGCAAUAAAAAAGUUGAUAGUGCCUGUUUGCAUCCAUAUGACUCAAAUAAUUUGAGUAUCUUUUUCUCUGUAUUUUCUUCCUUUGGUUAAUAUAUUAGAGCUCCUUGCGGAUAUAAGAGAAACAAUAAUAAUGAUAUUGCACUUGUUGCCCAUCCUUCAUCCCCUUCAUCCAUAUAGUGUUAUUUUAUUUUAGUGAUACAAAUUUAAACAGGUUAAUAAAAAAUAGUCUCCUGAAUAUACUUUGAAACAAAUAUAUAACUUUUAUACUUUAUUAUUGUGAAAUUUAACACACAUGCCAAAAAUGCAACCCCUCAACAAAUGGUCACAUUUAUUAUUAUAAAAUGAGCAUCUGUGUAACUACCACUGUUGGCAUCUAUGGCCUGUCUAAGAGCAGGCUGCCAUGAUGCUGGCUGCAGUGGGGGAGGCUCUGCCUGGGCUACAUGAUCCAGGGAGCAAGCAGGAGCUGGGAACAGGUGGAAGCCCUGUCCCCUUGCAGGUUGGAGGGGCGAGAGCCCUACCGUCCCAGGCACAGCUGCAGCCACCCAGCCAUGGCUUCAGACCUAGGCAUCUCUGCAUUCUCGGGGGCCCAGGAAGCCUCCCUGCCCCUGCAGACACAGAAGUACCUACUCCUGCUGCCUGGCCUCUACCCGCUCCCAGUUCCCACUCCAGUUUCAGAGCAAAGUUGUGACUGAGCCUGGGCACUGUCACAACCCAGCCAGGUGUGCAUAUGCUGAGGGCAGUGCUGACACGCCAGUUCCCUGCCACCUUGGCUGCCUCCAGACUUUGGGCAUCUAGAAGCACAAGAGGGACCCCAUGGGGGGCUUAAGAGCGGCUCAGUAUGGGCCUGCAGACACCCCUCAACAUGCACUGGGUGCUGUGGGCACUGUGGAUGGCAGGUUAAUGGCAGCAGAAGGCAGACAGGCUCCUGGGCAAAAAGGGGAAGGUACUCUAUGAAAUCCUACCUUCAGGCCAGUGACGGCCUGAGGCCUGGGGGCUGGGCUGCCAGUUUUGUGGACUGGAGUGAGAACUUACGGUGCUUUUUCCAGCCUGCCCAUGGCCACUCAUGGACCAAUCAGCAUGCACUUCCUCCCCUCGGAAGCCCAUAAAGACUCCAGAGUCUCCUAGACUUGGGCAGAAAAUGGGACAAACUGCCUGUGGAGAGGAGCUACCCACUGUGGGUCUCCUCUCUGCUGAGAGCUGCACUUGUUGGGAUGACUUGCCUUUGGAGAGGAGCUACCCACUGCAGGUCUCCUCUGUCUGUCACUCAGGAAAGCACCUCUUCACCUUGCUCACCCUCCACUUGUCCAGAUGUCUCAUUUUUCUUGGACCUGGUACAAGAACUUAGGACUCACUGAAUGUUGGGGCUGAAAGAGCUGUAAUACAAACAAGGCUGAAACACGUCCCCUACUUGCCACAUUGCAGGUGACGAGAAGAGCUGAGGCCCUUUGGGGAGCCCAGACCUAGGAGCUCCCUGAGCCAGGGCUGUGACUCCCUCUUUGGGGCUCUGCGGUUCCUGGUGUCCCCAAGCUUCCAGAUGCCACUGCCUUCCCUGGUGCCUGCAGUGGAAACCACUUGCAGUAUGCCUGGUCCAGACACAGCCUCACAGGGAGCCAGCACCCAUGUCUGCCUGGAGCUGCCUGCCCCACUGCAGCCAACAUGCCCGGCUCUGUGCAGUGGCCAGACCCCAUGAUCACAAGCUCACACGCCCCUCACUGCUCCGCACCUGGCUUGCCCUUGGCAGGUAUGGGAUGUGGGCUGGUAGUGCCAGCCUAGUGCAGCCUGCCAGGUUGGGUGGGUGGAAUGAGCCCAGGGGGCCCAAGUAAAACUUGGGCAAAGGCACCACUGGCCAGGGAGGUUUCUGGCUGAAGAAGUGACACUCCAAGGAUCCCGUGACAUCACUCUGGUCAAGAGAUUGAACAUUAUCGUACUCCAGAGGCCUGCUUCUCAUAUUCCCCAUCCCCAACCCUAUGUCUCCUUCCUUCCCCUUAAUUACUAUCCUGAUUUUUACGUAAUCACUUCUUUUAUUUUCAUAAUUCAUAACAUGUUCGUUGGAAGAGCUUCUACAGAAAUUUUAAUUUUGCCAAUUUAGGUCGUGUGUGCAAAUGAAAUCAUAUAGUGUCUAAAUAUUAUUUUGUAUAUGGGCUCUUUCACUCAAUGUUAUCCUUAUAUGAUCAUAUCAUGCAUGUGGCUGCAGUUCAUACUGCAUUGUAUAAAUAUAUAAAUUAAUUUCACAUUUUACUAUUGAUCAUUUGGGUUGUUUCUAUUUUAUAACUAUUGUGAACAAUUUCAUUAUGAACACUCUUCUAAAUAGUUUUUAGUGUCCUGCUGAACAAAUAAAUAUAUAAUUUUUAUAUAUUUAUACAAUGCAGUAUAGAAGUGGAAUUGCUUGGUCAUAGGGAAUGCACAGUUCAAACUUGUUAAACUUUAGUAAAUAAUGCCAAGUUUUUUUCCCAACAGUUGUCCCAUCAUCAGUAUAUAUGAGUUCCUGUAGCUUCAAUACUUGACAGCAGUUGGUAUUAUUGGUCUUUUUUAUUGUAUCUAUUUAGUGGGCAGUGGUUGCUUCUCCCUGCGGUUUUAAUGUGCAUUUUUUUAUUUCUCUUGAGACGGUUACAUUUUCAUAUUUACGAGCUAUUAAUAUCCCUCUAUAUAAAGUGCCUAUUCAAGUCUUCUCUCUCUCUCUCUGUCUUUUAAUGGAAAAUCUGUCUCUUGUGUUUUUCUUAUUGAUUUGUACUUCUUUACAAAAUCUGGAUACAAACUCCUUGUCUGUUACAGGGUUACAAAUUUUUACUGAUAUGUGGCUUGCCUUUUCAUACUCUCAGUUGUUCUUUUUAAAAGUUCGUAAUUUGAAUGUGGCCAAAUGGGAAAGGUUUUCCCUUGAUUGUUAGUGUGCUUUGUGUCCUAGUUAAGAAAUCUUUCUCUAGAAUGAUGACAUGAAGAUAUUCGCUUAUAUUAUCUUCUAAAAGCAUUAUGUUCUAUGCUUCACAUAAGAGUCUAUAUGCUUCACAUAAGAGUCUAUAAUGUGUGGAAUUUAUUGUUAAGUGAGUGAUGUGAUAUAGGGUCCAAUUCUCUUUUUAUCUAGACAGAUUUCUAAAUGUCUAAGCACAAGUUUUUGAAAACAGUCUACUUGUUCUUCCUCCACUGCUCAGCUGUGCCAUCUUUGCUUUAAAUCACGUAUCAUUAUACGUGUGGGUAUUCUCACUAGGUUUUAAAAUUUUGUCUAUUCUUGAAUCCAUGGCCAUAGUUAAUUACUCUAGCAUUUUUUCUUUGUAAAAUUGAACUUAAUUUUUACUUUAUUUUUGAUUCAGGGAGUACAUGUACAUGUUUCUUACAUGGAUACAAUAUGUACUGGUGGGGAUUGGGCUUCUAGUGUACCCAUUAUCCAGACAGUAAACAUUGUACAUAUUAGAUAAUUUUCCAGCUCUCACUCCACUUCUACACUCCUUAAUUUUGGAGUCCCCAGUUCUAUUAUUUCCAUCUUUAUGUCCAUAUGCAUCCAUUGGUUAGCUCUCCAUUUUUGGUAUUUACCCAGUAGGCUACUAAGAACUAUAUAGAUGAGUGUUCAUAAUGGAAUUUUUCACAAGUCAUAAAAUAGAAACAACUCAAAUAAUCAAUGGUAGAAUGUGAAAAUAAUUUUUAUAUAUUUAUAGAAUGCAGUAUGGAUGAACUGCAGCCACAUCAUGGUGUGAUCAUAUAAACCUAACAUCGAGUGAAAGAUACUACACAGAAAAUAAUAUGUAUGCACUAUAUGAUUUCAUUGAUACACACUACACAAAUUCUACAUUUUCAUACUAGAAUGUGAAACAACAUUGACUUUUAAUUUAUUUUUAUUUAUUUAUUUUUUAAUUUUCAUGAAUUUGGGGUACAAGUGCAGUUGUUUUACAAGAUAUAUUGGGUAGUGGUGAAAUCUGGGCUUUUAAAGUACAUUGUACCCAACAGGUACAAUGGAAUAAUGUACAUUGUACCCAGUAGGUAGUAUUUCAGUUCUCACCCCCCUCUCAUCCUCCCAUCUUUUGGAAUCUUCAGUAUCUAUUAUUCCACUCUAUAUGUCUGUGUGCACCCAUUGUUUAGCUCCAACUUAUAAGUGAGAACAGGCAACUUUUAACUUUCUGCUUCUUAGUCAUUUCUCUAAGGAUAAUGAUGACCAGCUCCAUCCAUGUUGCUGCAAAUGACAUGAUUUUAUUUUAUUUUUUUUAAUUUCCAACUUUUAUUUUAAGU